rnacentral:rRNA from 1 species
GACGAACGCUGGCGGCGUGCCUAAUACAUGCAAGUAGAACGCACAGGAUGCACCGUAGUUUACUACACCGUAUUCUGUGAGUUGCGAACGGGUGAGUAACGCGUAGGUAACCUGCCUGGUAGCGGGGGAUGACUAUUGGAAACGAUAGCUAAUACCGCAUAAUAGUAGAUGUUGCAUGACAUUUACUUAAAAGGUGCAAUUGCAUCACUACCAGAUGGACCUGCGUUGUAUUAGCUAGUUGGUGGGGUAACGGCUCACCAAGGCGACGAUACAUAGCCGACCUGAGAGGGUGAUCGGCCACACUGGGACUGAGACACGGCCCAGACUCCUACGGGAGGCAGCAGUAGGGAAUCUUCGGCAAUGGACGGAAGUCUGACCGAGCAACGCCGCGUGAGUGAAGAAGGUUUUCGGAUCGUAAAGCUCUGUUGUAAGAGAAGAACGAGUGUGAGAGUGGAAAGUUCACACUGUGACGGUAUCUUACCAGAAAGG